ensembl:lncRNA
GAUUCCAGGCUGAGGCUGAAGCUCUGCAUAUCAGGAGCACCGAACUGCUCGGAGCCGUUUCUAUACAGAGGCCACUGCGAAAGCUGCCCGUUGACUUAACAGUUACUUGCGGCAGCAGACACUUGACAAGUGUCCUUUUUUUGGAGGUAAUGCAACGAGUCAGGCCGGGUGAAAGCCCCUCACUUCUCUGCCCCGGUGAUGCCGUGGGCCCUGCUCUGCCUGCCGCCUCCGCGUCCCCCAUCCGUCCGUCAGUCCGUCCGCUGUGCUCCUCACUGAGGAGGUGCUUCGCCGGCUCCUGCUUCCUGCGCGC